UACGUAGGUGACAAGCGUUGUCCGGAUUUACUGGGCGUAAAGAGCGCGCAGGCGGUCGUUCAAGUCGAGUGUGAAAGCCCCCGGCUCAACUGGGGAGGGUCAUUCGAUACUGAUCGACUUGAAGGCAGGAGAGGGUAGUGGAAUUCCCGGUGUAGUGGUGAAAUGCGUAGAUAUCGGGAGGAACACCAGUGGCGAAGGCGGCUCACUGGCCCGUAACUGACGCUGAGGCACGAAAGCGUGGGGAGCAAACAGG
rnacentral:rRNA from 1 species